rnacentral:lncRNA from 1 species
CAACUCUUCCUCUCCCCCAAUCUGCGAGCGGACCAAGCAGGUUUUGGCUGAUGAUGUCGUGACAGAUCCCGAAAAGAUGGCAGAUUGGUGUUUGGCAUGGAUGGAUCUUGGUUUUUUUUUCUUCUGUUUUGUGAUAAACCCAGAUGGAAUGUUUAACAAUUCUGGAUGGUUAAUUGUGUGAAGCACGUCAGCAUAGCUUGGCAAAUAGGGCAGCAUCUCCGCCGUUGAACAUAAUCCUUUGCAGCGAUUGGCAGUGCAACGGAUGCACAGUGGCGGUGCUCGGUGGCAGUACAACGGGUGUGCAGCGGCUGUGCUCAGUGGU